GACGAACGCUGGCGGCGUGCCUAAUACAUGCAAGUCGAGCGAAUGGAUGGGAGCUUGCUCCCUGAAGUUAGCGGCGGACGGGUGAGUAACACGUGGGCAACCUGCCUGUAAGACUGGGAUAACUUCGGGAAACCGGAGCUAAUACCGGAUACAUUCUUUCUUCGCCUGAAGAAAGAUGGAAAGAGGGUUUCGGCUAUCACUGACAGAUGGGCCCGCGGCGCAUUAGCUAGUUGGUGAGGUAACGGCUCACCAAGGCAACGAUGCGUAGCCGACCUGAGAGGGUGAUCGGCCACACUGGGACUGAGACACGGCCCAGACUCCUACGGGAGGCAGCAGUAGGGAAUCUUCCGCAAUGGACGAAAGUCUGACGGAGCAACGCCGCGUGAGCGAAGAAGGCCUUCGGGUCGUAAAGCUCUGUUGUUAGGGAAGAACAAGUACCAGAGUAACUGCUGGUACCUUGACGGUACCUAACCAGAAAGCCACGGCUAACUACGUGCCAGCAGCCGCAGUAAGAC
rnacentral:rRNA from 1 species